UACGUAGGGAGCGAGCGUUGUCCGGAAUUACUGGGUGUAAAGGGAGCGUAGGCGGGCGAGAAAGUUGAAUGUUAAAUCUACCGGCUUAACUGGUAGCUGCGUUCAAAACUUCUUGUCUUGAGUGAAGUAGAGGCAGGCGGAAUUCCUAGUGUAGCGGUGAAAUGCGUAGAUAUUAGGAGAAACACCAGUGGCGAAGGCGGCCUGCUGGGCUUUAACUGACGCUGAGGCUCGAAAGCGUGGGGAGCAAACAGG
rnacentral:rRNA from 1 species